CGUCCUUUGUCACUUGAUUUUGUCAGAUUUCUGCAUGUUGCACGUUUUUCAUGGGUCUGGGAAUAUGCGAUUACUUUUGAGUUUUAACUUUCCUUUUGCAGUAAACGACUGAUGUACUUACCCAUCUAAAUGCGGCGAAAUUUUAGAGGGUUAUGUUUGAAUUCUUCACUUAGUACCAAUUAAAUUACUGGCUUUGAUUUUUGAAAUGUUUAUAAUUACCGAGGGGGGUUGUUAUAUCGCACCUUGCUACGUCAUUUUUCGAAGCUUCAUUGAAUGCUAUUUAAUUGUGUGUGUGUUUGUGUGUGUGUGUGAGUGUGUAAACUUUAAACAAAGAAAAUAUCGAGUUUGUUAAAACUUUGUUCCUACGAACUCUCGUGCUUUGCUGAAAUUAAAAUUAUUUCCCCAAAAAUACUGCUAUGUUCAUAGUGUGUAUAAGCAGUCUUCACGAAAAACUUUGUGAAGCACAGGCCCUUCGGGCCUCCUAGUACAUACAUGCCAACUUUCCCGAUUUGUGCGGGAUUCUCCCGAUUUGAAGCAGUUGAAAAGGCAAAUCCCGAUAUCCCGAUCGGGAUUGCAAAAAUACCCCGAAAUCCCGAUUUUCUAAAAAUAUCUCCCAUUUUACGACAACAAAUCCCCAUUUCCAACCGGAAUUUGAAAUCCCGCGUCAUUUCUGAACUGGCCAAUCAGAAAUCGGGACAAUAGUCAGCCAUUGCUGUUUACCUGUGUCGCAUGGUAUCGGGGUGAUGUAAUUUACCUGGUCUGCCUGUGUCGGGGUGCUUAUUGGACAGUGCGAAGCAUGUUUUGAUAGUAAUUAAUCGGGACGGAUUUCAAAUUGACAUAUCCUUUACACAAACGUGAAUGACAACGAUAAUAGUGUCACCAUGCACCACCAAACAAUCGGACAUUCCCGAUUUUUUGCCUCUCGCUGACAGCAUCCAAAAUAUGCAAUAAGAUGUCAUGGGUGCAAAGGUUUUGUUCGCAAACUUCAUAGCAGGGCAGACUACUCCUUUUCUGGUUGCAAUGCAGAUUGUUCCACCAGACUCUGCAAGCCCAUGUUUACAGACAACCAAGAUCGCCUUUGUAGUCGUACCUAAAUGCAUGUGCUUCAAUUUAAAUUUUGAUAUAUAGACCAGCCAAUGUGUAUAUGGUGUAAAAGGAUGCAACUUUAAGUAUUAUUUGAUAUUUGUAUGUGACUUGUUGGAGAGGAUUUUUUGCUGAAUAGAUAAUUUUAAUAAAAUACUUAUGUAUGUCUUUCAAA